ACGGGGCCCGCACAAGCGGUGGAGCAUGUGGUUAAUUCGACGCAACGCGAAGAACCUUACCAGGGCUUGACAUCCCCUGACCGCGUAUGAAAGUACGUUUUCACCUCGGGUGACAGGGAGACAGGUGGUGCAUGGUUGUCGUCAGCUCGUGUCGUGAGAUGUUGGGUUAAGUCCCGCAACGAGCGCAACCCCUACGUUUAGUUGCUAACAGGUGAAGCUGAGCACUCUAGACGAACUGCCGUUGACAAAACGGAGGAAGGUGGGGAUGACGUCAAAUCAUCAUGCCCCCUAUGUUCUGGGCUACACACGUGCUACAAUGGCCGGUACAGACGGAGGCGAAGCCGCGAGGCGGAGCAAAACCGAAAAAGCCGGUCUCAGUUCGGAUUGCAGGCUGCAAUUCGCCUGCAUGAAGUCGGAAUCGCUAGUAAUCGCAGGUCAGCAUACUGCGGUGAAUACGUUCCCGGGCCUU
rnacentral:rRNA from 1 species